AUUGAACGCUGGCGGCAGGCCUAACACAUGCAAGUCGAGCGGAGCGGCGGACGGGUGAGUAAUACCUAGGAAUCUGCCUGAUAGUGGGGGAUAACGUUCGGACACGGACGCUAAUACCGCAUACUAUCAGAUGAGCCUAGGGCGGAUUAGAUAGUUUGUGAGGUAAUGGCUCACAAAGGCUACGAUCCGUAACAGGUCUGAGAGGAGUAUCAGUCACACUGGAACUGAUACACGGUCCAGACUCCUACGUGAGGCAGCAGUGGGGAAUAUUGGACAAGGGGGUAAAGCCUGAUCCAGCCAUGCCGCGUGUGUGAAGAAGGUCUUCGGAUUGUAAAGCACUUUAAGUUGGUAGGCGUUACCGACAGAAUAAGCACCGGCUAACUCUGUGCCAGCAGCCGCGGUAAUUC
rnacentral:rRNA from 1 species